rnacentral:siRNA from 1 species
AGCGAUAGGAUGCCAAUUCCGCU